rnacentral:lncRNA from 1 species
AUGAGGAUCAAUUCCCUCCGUCAGCUGUGCAGUGCUGGGCUCAUCCCUCCCCUCCGUCAGCCACAGGCGGAGGGUCUCGGUGUCCUCUCGCCUGACUUUGGUGUCAUUGACCUGUGGAGCACUGUGCUGCCACAAGAGGAGCAGUCAGGCUGCAUCCCUCCUCGGGUUUUUAGUUUCAGUGAAGCAACUGAAUCUGACUGUUUUGUGGAUGAGACACUUGAGCAGAAAGCAUGUGAGCACCAGCAAGAGGAAGCGCUGGGACGCUUCCCUCAAGGUGUCUCCUGUUCCCUGCUGACGGGCCUCCACCACGGCCCCCUGUCCGAGGAGCCUGUAGCCAGUGGCAAGCAGGACAGCAGCUCCGCCCUCAGCCCUGUGCGCAGCUUGAUUUCGAAUAGCUCUGCUCCUUCUGAAACCACCGACGAGAGCCCCCACAAAGCCCGACUAAAGACGGAUGAGACCUUUGUCCAGAGCGCCACUGCCAGGCUGGAUCAUUGCAAAGUGGGCUGCUGGUGGAAACAGGACACUGAGACCUGCGGAGCCUCCAGUGGCCUCUUAUCUGCUGCAGAACCAGCAGCCGCUUUCACAUCAGGCGGACAAAGAGGAGCCUGCAGGUUGGAGUUCUGGGACGGCGUCACAAGGCGCCAUACGAAAUGGAAGAAUGCGAUCGAGGAAAGGGAAACGAGUGAAGAGGGCAUGAAGUGUCUGAGGACAGACUGA